rnacentral:rRNA from 1 species
UACGUAGGGUGCAAGCGUUAAUCGGAAUUACUGGGCGUAAAGCGUGCGCAGGCGGUUUUGUAAGACAGAGGUGAAAUCCCCGGGCUCAACCUGGGAACUGCCUUUGUGACUGCAAGGCUUGAGUGCGGUAGGGGAAGGUGGAAUUCCGAGUGUAGCGGUGAAAUGCGUAGAUAUUGGGAAGAACACCGGUGGCGAAGGCGGCUCACUGGCUCAUUUCUGACGCUCAGGCGCGACAGCGUGGGGAGCAAACAGG